rnacentral:rRNA from 1 species
GACGAACGCUGGCGGCGUGCCUAAUACAUGCAAGUAGAACGCUGAAGGAGGAGCUUGCUCUUCUGGAUGAGUUGCGAACGGGUGAGUAACGCGUAGGUAACCUGCCGGGUAGCGGGGGAUAACUAUUGGAAACGAUAGAUAAUACCGCAUAAGAGUAGAUGUGGCAUGACAUUGGCUAAAAAGUUGCAAGUGGAUCACUACCAGAUGGACCUUCGUUGUAUUAGCUAGUUGGGGGGGUAACGGCUCACCAAGGCGACGAUGCAUAGCCGACCUGAGAGGGGGAUCCGCCACACUGGGAGUGUGCGGCGGCCCUGGCUCCUACGGGAGGCAGCAGUAGGGACUCUUCGGCGCUGGGCGGAAGUCUGACCGAGCAACGCCGCGUGGGUGCAGAAGGGUUUCGGAUCGUAAAGCUCUGUUGUGAGUGAAGACCGAGUGUGAGAGUGGAAAGUUCACACUGUGACGGUAUCUUACCAGAAAGCGACGGCUAACUACGUG